rnacentral:rRNA from 1 species
UACGUAGGCAGCAAGCGUUGUUCGGAAUUACUGGGCGUAAAGAGUGUGUAGGCGGUGUUCUAAGUUUGUCGUGAAAUCUCCCGGCUUAACUGGGAGGGUGCGGCGAAAACUGGAAUGCUAGAGGAUGGGAGAGGUAAGCGGAAUUCCCUGGUGUAGCGGUGAAAUGCGUAGAUAUCAGGAGGAACACCUGUGGUGUAGACAGCUACUG